CGCAAGGCACCCUCUGUUUCCUGCUGGAACUCUUCUCUCCACGACCUCUCCAGAGUGUUUGUGCAAAAGGUACACACAGACGAGAGUGGGCGGAGGCAAGGAACUGGAGGGUCUCUAGGCUGCAUCACAGCUCAGUGACCAAGUAAGGGCAGGAAUGAAGUUUCUCAGAGGCAGCCUCCCGUUUCCGGGAUCUGGAGCCCCCUCAGAGACGAGAGAGUCCCGGACUUCCCCGAGAGUGCGCCUCUUGCAAGAAGGAAUGAAGCCUGAUACUUCUCAACCUGAACAGGAUCCCUCUCAGCUGUCUGGUGGGGAAGAGUGGAGUCAAGAGGAGAGGAGAGGAAAGGGGGCUGCCAGCCAUGAGGCCCACAUGUUUCAGCCGAAGCCACUUGAAGCCACGUGGACAGAGGGACCCACAGCAUCCUCUCUAGCAGAUGUGGAAUGUGGGAUGCCGCCUCAGCGUGGUUUGAUGAGCGGUGCCAUGUCCGUGCCCUGGAUGCGAACCAACGAAACACUGGGCCGCCUGCAGCGGAGCGUGCGAACUUAACCACUCGGCCACAGGGCCAGCCCACCGUUAUCUUCUUUUGAGUUUUUACAGGGAAGGAAACUGAGGCUCAGUGGGGCUGGGAUCACACAGACCAUAAGUGAAGAGUUGCGUGUCUGGACAGCUGUUGUGGCGCCCUGGCCAUCCCAAAAGCUCCAGCAUUCCAUUUCAAGGAUCUCUUGCUGGCUUCCCUCCUACCAUCAUUCCUCUGAGAGAACGUGGCCUUGAGAACAAGGAGUGGAGAGCUGCCAGCUACUGCCACCUGACACAGAGCCUCAUUGCCCUUGCCUGUCUCCUUCCCCUGUCCAUCUUCAGUGUAGGGUCAAGAAGUGGGCCACUCCUUCCUUUUAUCCGAGGUGGACUUCUUGUUUUCUCCCCCCAGAGGUUGCCACGUGUCUAAUUGCCCAUCAAGCUAGAGUGGUGGAGGGAAAUUGGUAUCAAAGAGUUUUUGCUGAAUGCUUGAAUGGACGACGGCUUAGAGAACUGACUGAAGUUUGAGCGGGAAACAGGAAGACAAGGCCAACGUCAUUUAGCCCACCAAAUACCCUCAUGCCCUUUGGGAAGAAGAAAGAUGAAUAUGGAAGAAGCAGAAAAGGAUGAGUUUAAAUUGAGGCAUAAAGAACAUAGAACUAAAUAAGUAAGACCUCAAAAGUCCCUUAGUCAUCAUCUAAUCCAGACCUUUAUUUUUUUAGCAGAGGGCAUCAAACCCCCAAGGGGAUCGUGACCUUAGUGACCUCCUUAAGAUCACAGGGCCAGAGUGAGGCCUUGGGUCUCUUGACUAUUUUGAUCUCAACGAGAUGUUGGUCUCCUCUUCUCCACAUUCACCUCAAACUCAUUUAUUCCAGAAAACUACCUUACCUAACCCAGGGGUCCAGUUAGCACCAAAGUGAUCUAAACUAACCUUGAGUUUACUGUCCUUGGGUCCAUUUUGGCAAUUGCCUCGUGGCCUCAAGACUACCCCCACUUAGAAAGAAUGGGUGAGGGUAGCCAAAGCCAAAUGUACAGGGCCAGUUUUACCCCAGGCUGGCCCAGGAGAGGUUUGGCUUGGGUUAUUACCAAGGUGCGAGGUCUCACCUCCUAGGAGUUUGUUCCAGGGGUCUGCAGUCAUCGGAAUACGCAGUCUUGAGCAGAGGUGUCUAGACCUUGUCGAAUGAUCAGAGACCGGGACGUGAACACACAUUUUACCCCUUUAUAAUGACUUGGGUGUGCCAAACAGGACCCAUCACCCCCAAGUCCUAGCCUAGGAUUUUCUAACCAAGUAUAUAGUUAGAGGAAAAUGUAAUCCACGUGUAUCUGACUCACUCAUCCCUAAAUUAUCCUAAAGUUCCAUUCUGGGAAUGGUUUGAUAUGUACUCUGCUUUUUUUCAUCUUUUGGAAUCUUGAAUUGGCCAAGACAAAAUAAAAAGCCAUCCUGAGAGAUGGAAGGACUCUUCAAGUAGAGGCAUGACCUGUAGGCUCCUCCCCAAGGCCUCCUGGGACAGGAAGCCCAGCAGGGCAGGGAGCAUGCCAGAACCCAGAAACAUACCUUUAUUAGUCAUCUCCCAGCUCCCCUUCUGCUUGUACUUCUGCGAUGCUGUGCCCUACUGAGGAAAAUCACCCAGUGCGGAAGAUGGUGUCACUACAGAUUUAUGGCAUCUGGACUCUGUUGCACCCCCAAGAGUACGGAGAGAUCCCAUCAGGUGAGUCUCCAAGGACAUUCCAGACCUUCACCACGCUUCUCAACACCCCAAAUCCUUUUCUCAAUGAUUUUCUCUUUUGCAGAGAAAAGUGAGUCCAUCAAGAAAGAAUUUUCUCCCCUUCCUGUCACGCUCUACAAACCUAUCUGCCUCAGCACCCUCCUGCUCAAUUAGGGCCAUUUCUGAAGGGCCAGCCCAGCUUCAGAGCUCCCUGUGGUCCCAGUUGCAUCAUUCUUCAACUCCCCUCUCCGCCGUUUCCGCUUCCUUUGCCCCCUCACUCAGUAGGUGUUCUUCCCAAGACCACCCCCCAGUAAUUCUCCUACGUGAAAAUCACACGGUCUGUUUCUUGGCGAACCCAACUAAGAUGAGAAAGAGUGUUUCAGGCAGUGGGAACAUGCAAUGGCGUCCAAUUUCUUCCUGUGUCCUCUGGGACCUUGUUCCAUGAUCCCCUCUUUUUUGCUGAAUCUUCAAACUCCACCUCUCCUUAGCGUAUAUACUUAUUCAAGUCUUUCCCACAUUAAAACACAAAAAUUAAACCUUCCUUUCACCCGAAGCCCCUCUCCAGCUGUUACCCCAUACAUAUUCCCUUUUGGUCAAGCUUCUCAAGAAAGUAGAUGGUCAUUACUCCCUUCAUCUCACAUUUACUCCUCAACUCAUUGUGGUCGGCAUCCACUGUCAACAAUGAAAGACUCUUUGAAGUCACCAGCAGUAGGUGCUUUUCAGUCUUCGUUGCUUGACUUGUCAGCCAUAUUUGAUGCCAUUGACCUUCCUCUCAAUCUCCACUUCCUUUGCUCCUUUGGUUUGUGUUCUUUUCUGAAUCUCUUUCUACUACUUAGGAGAUCUGUUUAGUCUCUGUUGUGUCCCCCUCACCCCCUGUCCCACUACAUCCAUAAAUGUUGGUUGGGAUUUCCCGUAUCUCUCCAUGGCUGUCUGUGCCUUCUUCUCUUCUCACUCUACACACUCCCCACUCCCGAUAAGCUACUCCCUCAAGCUCCUGACCUGAAUCUGCACUUCUAGCCAAGGUCUCUCUUCUGAACUCCAUCUUAAGUUCUAUGAGAUAAAACAGGACUCAUUAGCAGGACUCUGUCUACCCUUGAAUCUGCUCACCUUUCUGAACACCCCCAUCUUGGGGAAGGAUGUCAACGUUUCCCUAGGGCCUCUGCCUUAUCCCUGGCAUUCAAUCAGUCACCAAGUCCUGCCAACUUGACCGCUUAAGCAUCCAUCCUCUCUGCUCUGGCUCCAUUCCUACUGCCUUGGUCCAGGCUCUCACUUCUUGAUGGCUAUUGCUAUGGUCUCCUAAUGGUUUCCUUUCAGCCACUCUUGACCAUGCCCAAUCCAUACUAUACAUAGAAGCAAGAGUGAUAUUUCUAUAAAACAAAUCUUGUGCAUCAUUCCUUUACUUAAAAUUCUUCAGAAGCUUCUCAUCACUCUCAGGAUAAAAUCUAAAUUCUUCAGUAUAACAUAAAAAAUCCUGUAUGAUCUAGUUCCUGUCUGUCAGUGCAGCCUCAUUUCUCCUUCCCGUUCCCCCUCUCCAUGCUACGGCAACACUGAAAUUCAUUGUUCUAACUCCCACAACACAGUAGAUUUUCUCUUUAAGUCUAAACUUCUUGAGAGCAGUGUUCAUAUCUUUUCAUCUCUGGAUCUUCUAUACAAAGUACAGGGCCUGGCAUAGAGCAGGCACUCAAUACAUGUUUAAUUAGCACUAACGCCUAGCUUUUAUUGAACACUUUCGGUAAGGCCAGGCAACGUGCUAAGCACUUUAACAUACAUUGUGUCAGUUAGUUCACACAACUACAAUUACUGUUAGGUAGGUGUCAUUAUCCCUAUUUUAAAGAUGAGAAAACUGAGACAUAGAGAGGUUAGGUAGCUCUCCCAAGCUGGUAAGUGGCUCAGAAGAGACGUGAACCAUACUCUUAAUUAAGCACGAGUGUGAGCUGCUAUGCCAUUCAUGCUGAUGAAAGUUCAGUGUAGGGAUUCUGGGUGCAGCUCUUGGGAGCUGCCUUACGCACUGUCUGUCUGACACCAGUCCAUCCAGUGCUUGCACGGGCCUCUACCUAUUAACUUGGGCCUUGAGGCUUGCACUCGGUGAACAAGAUUUCAGCAUUCCCAGUUCAGCCAGUCUUUGCUCCCAUAUCAAAAUCCUUUGCCACUGCUACAGUUCUACCGUGCUGCCCAGACUCUUCCAGAUCUGGCACCUGGUCUCCUGGCUUCUGGCUGAGAGCUCUGCCUCCUGACCAUGCAGACCUACAGCCAGUAACACUCAACAAUGCUUGGUUUCUCAGGCUUGUCUGGCCAGUAGGUCUGUCUUGGUGUGCACCCCAGUCCACAUCCCCAGCUCUGAUCUGAUUGCUUCCCAUGUAGACCAGCACUCUUAGCAUGCUGGGCCCCAGCCAGCGCCGUCCUUGCCUUGCUGUCAGUCACUCUGCCUGAGCUGAGACCUUGCUCCCUGCUCCCACUGCCAGCAGCUCAGGGACCAGACAGCAGGAGAAGCGGAGAGGUGAGGGACCACUUAGAAAGGCCUGUGACUGCCAGUCAGGGGCGUGCUGAGACUGUGGGGACGGGUGGGGCUGCAUCUACAGGUCUUCAUCCCCACACCUGCAGUUGGAGAGCUCACAGCUGAACUCUGGAGCCACCGGCCCACUAGCUAUGCUUCCUUCUCAGUCACUGUUUGUUUCUCAGUAUGGCAAAGUUACAAUGCAAGUACAGUGACGUGUUCUUGACUAACAGGACUGAUACUUUGUGACCAGCUUUUAUUGUGAUGUUAAUGAUAAUUUGUACCUGGCUCUAAUUAUUAUAUUAACAAUAUGCAGUCCUUGAUGAGUAAGAGUUGCACUUCAGAAAUAAGGCCAGAUUGAUCUGAGCAGUGAAACUAUUUUAAAUGAUAAAGCUUCAAUUUUGUAAGUCAUUUUUAUUAUAAAGCACUUUCAUACAUAUCAUCUCGUUUCAACUGGGUUAAAAUAGUUUUUUUAAUACAACAAAGGGGAAUAGGGCUCAGAUUUAAAAUCGCGUCCUAUUCGUCCAUCACUGUUGAAGGCAACAGCACUAAUCCCAGAGACUUAAUAUACAACAUUUGAGUAAUCUUUCCAGCAACCACAAAAGAUGGGAAUUAUCCCCAUUUUAGAGACAGGAG
rnacentral:lncRNA from 1 species